rnacentral:rRNA from 1 species
UACGUAGGGUGCGAGCGUUGUCCGGAAUUACUGGGCGUAAAGAGCUCGUAGGUGGUUUGUCGCGUUGUUCGUGAAAACUCACAACUCAAUUGUGGGCGUGCGGGCGAUACGGGCAGACUGGAGUACUGCAGGGGAGACUGGAAUUCCUGGUGUAGCGGUGGAAUGCGCAGAUAUCGGGAGGAACACCGGUGGCGAAGGCGGUUCUCUGGGCCUGUGCUGACGCUGAGGAGCGAAAGCGUGGGGAGCGAACAGG